rnacentral:rRNA from 1 species
AGUUAAAUGGCUGCAGUAUUCUGACUGUGCNNAGGUAGCNUNAUAAUUAGUCUUUUAAUUGAAGGCUGGAAUGAAUGAGUAUAUGAGGGAUUUGUUUUAUUUCUUAUAUUGUUAUAAUUUGAUUUUUAAGUAAAAAAGCUUAAUUUUAUUUUUGGGACGAUAAGACCCUAUAGAACUUUAUUUUUAUUUAAAUUUUCUUAAUAUUUAGUUUUUUUUGUUAUUAAUUUAAAUUAAUUUUUUACUGGGGAGGUAAAUAAAUUUGACUUUAUUUUUAUACUUCAUUUAUUUAUGUUUUAGAGAUCCAUAUAUGAUUAUAAGAUUAAGUUACCUUAGGGAUAACAGCGUAAUUUCAAUGGGGAGUUCAUAUUUAUAUUGAAGUUUGCGACCUCGAUGUUGAAUUAAGAUAAGAUUAAGGGGCAG